GAUCAUGGCUCAGAUUGAACGCUGGCGGCAUGCCUUACACAUGCAAGUCGAACGGCAGCGGGCCUUCGGGUGCCGGCGAGUGGCGAACGGGUGAGUAAUGCAUCGGAACGUGCCAUUGAGUGGGGGAUAACGUAGCGAAAGUUACGCUAAUACCGCAUAUUCUGUGAGCAGGAAAGCAGGGGACCGCAAGGCCUUGCGCUCUUUGAGCGGCCGAUGUCAGAUUAGCUAGUUGGUGAGGUAAAGGCUUACCAAGGCGACGAUCUGUAGCGGGUCUGAGAGGAUGAUCCGCCACACUGGAACUGAGACACGGUCCAGACUCCUACGGGAGGCAGCUGUGGGGAAUUUUGGACAAUGGGCGCAAGCCUGAUCCAGCCAUGCCGCGUGAGUGAAGAAGGCCUUCGGGUUGUAAAGCUCUUUCGGCCGGGAAGAAAUCGCAUGGGUUAAUACCCUGUGUGGAUGACGGUACCGGAAUAAGAAGCACCGGCUAACUACGUG
rnacentral:rRNA from 1 species